rnacentral:rRNA from 1 species
UAGGGAAUCUUGCACAAUGGGCGAAAGCCUGAUGCAGCAACGCCGCGUGAAGGAUGAAGGCCUUCGGGUUGUAAACUUCUGUUCUAAGGGAAGAAACAAAUGACGGUACCUUAGGAGCAAGCCCCGGCUAACUACGUGCCAGCAGCCGCGGUAAUACGUAGGGGGCAAGCGUUAUCCGGAAUUAUUGGGCGUAAAGAGUGCGUAGGUGGUUACCUAAGCGCAAGGUUUAAUUUAGAGGCUCAACCUCUACUUGCCUUGCGAACUGGGCUACUUGAGUGCAGGAGGGGAAAGCGGAAUUCCUAGUGUAGCGGUGAAAUGCGUAGAUAUUAGGAGGAACACCAGCGGCGAAGGCGGCUUUCUGGACUGUAACUGACACUGAGGCACGAAAGCGUGGGUAGCAAACAGGAUUAGAUACCCUGGUAGUCCACGCCGUAACGAUGAGCACUAGGUGUUGGGCCCGUUAGGGCCCAGUGCCGCAGUUAACGCAAUAAGUGCUCCGCCUGGGGAGUACGCUCGCAAGAGU